ensembl:snRNA U4 U4 spliceosomal RNA
AGCUUUGCGCAGUGGCAGUAUCGUAGCCAAUGAGGUUUAUCCGAGGCGCGAUUAUUGCUAAUUAUUGCUAAUUGAA